GGUGAGGUGUCCGAGUGGCUGAAGGAGCACGCCUGGAAAGUGUGUAUACGGCAACGUAUCGAGGGUUCGACAACGGGCGACAGCCAGUUGGACAGACCACGAACGCAGUGAGUGGGCUGCCCGAAGGGCGAGCGCAGCGAGUCAAUCCCUCCCUCACCGCCA
rnacentral:tRNA from 1 species